AGUGAACGCUGGCGGUAGGCCUAACACAUGCAAGUCGAACGGCAGCACAGUAAGAGCUUGCUCUUACGGGUGGCGAGUGGCGGACGGGUGAGGAAUAUAUCGGAAUCUACUUUUUCGUGGGGGAUAACGUAGGGAAACUUACGCCAAUACCGCAUACGACCUACGGGUGAAAGCAUGGGAUCUUCGGACCUUGCGCGAUUGAAUGAGCCGAUGUCGGAUUAGCUAGUUGGCGGGGUAAAGGCCCACCAAGGCGACGAUCCGUAGCUGGUCUGAGAGGAUGAUCAGCCACACUGGAACUGAGACACGGUCCAGACUCCUACGGGAGGCAGCAGUGGGGAAUAUUGGACAAUGGGCGCAAGCCUGAUCCAGCCAUACCGCGUGGGUGAAGAAGGCCUUCGGGUUGUAAAGCCCUUUUGUUGGGAAAGAAAAGCAGCAGGUUAAUACCCCGCUGUUCUGACGGUACCCAAAGAAUAAGCACCGGCUAACUUCGUG
rnacentral:rRNA from 1 species